GUACUCGAGCGGCGAACGGGUGAGUAACACGUGAGUAACCUGCCCCUGACUCUGGGAUAAGCCCGGGAAACUGGGUCUAAUACCGGAUACGACCUUUGAUCGCAUGAUCGGAAGGUGGAAAGUUUUUUCGGUUGGGGAUGGACUCCCGCCCUAUCAGCUUGUUGGUGGGGUAGUGGCCUACCAAGGCGACGACGGGUAGCCGGCCUGAGAGGGCGACCGGCCACACUGGGACUGAGACACGGCCCAGACUCCUACGGGAGGCAGCAGUGGGGAAUCUUGCGCAAUGGGCGGAAGCCUGACGCAGCGACGCCGCGUGGGGGAUGACGGCCUUCGGGUUGUAAACCUCUUUCAGCAGGGACGAAGUUGACGUGUACCUGCAGAAGAAGCGCCGGCUAACUACGUGCCAGCAGCCGCGGUAAUACGUAGGGCGCAAGCGUUGUCCGGAAUUAUUGGGCGUAAAGAGCUCGUAGGUGGCUGGUCGCGUCUGCCGUGAAAGCCCAUGGCUUAACUGUGGGUCUGCGGUGGAUACGGGCCGGCUAGAGGUAGGUAGGGGCAAGCGGAAUUCCUGGUGUAGCGGUGAAAUGCGCAGAUAUCAGGAGGAACACCGGUGGCGAAGGCGGCUUGCUGGGCCUUACCUGACGCUGAGGAGCGAAAGCGUGGGGAGCGAACAGGAUUAGAUACCCUGGUAGUCCACGCUGUAAACGUUGGGCGCUAGGUGUG
rnacentral:rRNA from 1 species